rnacentral:rRNA from 1 species
UUUAAUGAGAUCUUCGGAUUGGCCUCCCCUGCUGUCUUCGACAGCAUCGCGUGGCCGAAAAGUUGCUCGAAUUUGAUCAUUUAGAGGAAGUAAAAGUCGUAACAAGGUUUCCGUAGGUGAACCUGCGGAAGGAUCAUUAAUGCUAAAGUUGUGAUGAUAACUACUACACUGUGAAUCGGUCGGUGGCACGAGAUGACGAUGUGCGUGCUUGUACGCAGCCAGACGACAGAAACCCUCUGCCGUUGCGGCUCCCUACUACUGCGCACAUCGCGUCGUUCUUUUUGCUCAUACUGUAUGUAAUGAAAGCAGAGUACCAAUUGUGAAUUGAAUAAGAGAAAAACUGCUGACGGCGGAUCUCUUGGUUCGUGUAUCGAUGAAGAACGUAGCCAGUUGCGAAAAGUAAUGUGAAUUGCAGAAUGAAGUGAAUCAUCGAAUCUUUGAACGCAAAUUGCACUCUUUGGAAUUCCAUUGAGUAUGUCUGUCUGAGUGUCUUGACAAACCUUACACCCCGGUGUGAACUCGGGCUUCUGGUCUCUCUCGCGGAGACUCGCGCCUGCAAGAACGUACUCAACGCUUGAGACAACAACGUAAGUUUGAUCUUAGACAAGCUAGAGUCUCUCACCAAACAUGGACCUCAGAUCAGGCAAGACUACCCGCUGAAUUUAAGCAUAUUAAUAAGCGGAGGAAAAGAAACUAACUAG